GGAGGGUAGCUCAGUGGUAGAGUACAUGCUUAGCAUGUGCAAGGUCCUGGGUUCAAUCCCCAGAACCUCCA
rnacentral:tRNA from 1 species